GAUGAACGCUGGCGGCGUGCCUAAUACAUGCGAGUCGAGCGAACAGACGAGAGUGCUUGCACUCUCUGACGUUAGCGGCGGACGGGUGAGUAACACGUGGGUAACCUACCUAUAAGACUGGGAUAACUUCGGGAAACCGGAGCUAAUACCGGAUAAUAUUUAGCUUCGCAUGAAGCAAUAGUGAAAGACGGUUCUGCUGUCACUUAUAGAUGGACCCGCGGUGUAUUAGCUAGUUGGUGAGGUAACGGCUCACCAAGGCAACGAUACAUAGCCGACCUGAGAGGGUGAUCGGCCACACUGGGACUGAGACGCGGCCCAGACUCCUACGGGAGGCAGCAGUAGGGAAUCUUCCGCAAUGGACGAAAGUCUGACGGAGCAAUGCCGCGUGAGUGAAGAAGGUUUUCGGAUCGUAAAACUCUGUUGUAAGGGAAGAACAAGUACGUUAGUAACUGAACGUACCUUGACGGUACCUUACCAGAAAGCCACGGCUAACUACGUG
rnacentral:rRNA from 1 species